rnacentral:rRNA from 1 species
UACGGGGGGUGCGAGCGUUGUCCGGAAUCACUGGGCGUAAAGGGCGCGUAGGUGGCGUCGUAAGUCUGUGGUGAAAGCCCGGAGCUCAACUCCGGGUCUGCCGCGGAUACUGCGAGGCUUGAGUACAGACGAGGUUGGCGGAAUUGAUUGUGUAGCGGUGAAAUGCAUAGAUACAAUCAAGAACACCGAUUGCGUAGGCAGCUAACUAGGCUGUAACUGACGCUGAGGCACGAAAGCGUGGGGAGCGAACAGG